CGGGCAUAUAACAUUGAAACACAGGUUCUCGUACGAUCACCGAAGUUAAGCAACGUUGAGCCUGGUCAGUACAUUGAUGGGUAACCGCUUCGGAAUACCAGGUGCUGUG